UAAACGACUCUCGGCAACGGAUAUCUCGGCUCUCGCAUCGAUGAAGAACGUAGCGAAAUGCGAUACUUGGUGUGAAUUGCAGAAUCCCGUGAACCAUCGAGUUUUUGAACGCAAGUUGCGCCCGAAACCAUUAGGUCGAGGGCACGCCGGCCUGGGCGUCUCAC
rnacentral:rRNA from 1 species